UUUUUGCUAAGGUAAAUUGCAUGCUCUUUUCGACAAGACGCGUCAUGCUGACCCACUUCACCUCGUAGACCCCUCGAAGGCCGUCAAGUACAGAAUUGAUGGUUGUUCCUUCCAUGGGAGGCGUCAGAAUCAGAGGUUCCUGCAAUUUUUUCUUUUAUUUUUCAAUGCCCCUUGGCAAUCAUUAUUUCACCUGACCGUUUGAUCUCUU
rnacentral:lncRNA from 1 species